UACGUAGGGUGCAAGCGUUAAUCGGAAUUACUGGGCGUAAAGCGUGCGCAGGCGGUGAUGUAAGACAGAUGUGAAAUCCCCGGGCUCAACCUGGGAACUGCAUUUGUGACUGCAUCGCUGGAGUACGGCAGAGGGGGGAUGGAAUUCCGCGUGUAGCAGUGAAAUGCGUAGAGAUGCGGAGGAACACCGAUGGCGAAGGCAGCCCCCCUGGGCUAGCACUGACGCUCAGGCACGAAAGCGUGGGGAGCAAACAGG
rnacentral:rRNA from 1 species